CCAUGUAUCCAGCUUCUCUCUCUCUUCCUUCUUUUCAUUUCUUUCCUUCUCUCAUUCUCUUUAAACCUAGAUAGUGGUUGUGAGAAGGAAAGCUUGGUAGAGUUGAUGCCUUAGUGGAUUUCUUUGGUGUUCCGAGCUGGGAAGAGGAGAUUUGAACUGAGAGCAACUUGGUGGAACUUCAGAUUCAGUUGGCUAUGAGAAAGAAUUUGGUGGAGUAGAUUUUCGAAACAAGUUUCUUGCUGUUGGAGCUGAGAGCAACCUUGUUGAGCAUCAAAUUGAGGCAGGUUUGAUGUGCUCGGAAGUUCAAAUUGAUAUUCCGACGGACCCACAACGCGCUAAUUAAGAAACGCAUCGUUCUAGUUUGACUUGCAUUGAGUCGCGAGGACUAGUUAUUUAUACGUUUCGAGACGUUGGUUCUGGUAUUUUGGCAUCCCUACGAGAUCCUAGCGCGAGCGGAGUGGUCGAGGACCGCGGCAAGAGCCCGGCAUCUUAGCUAGCGGACCCUAGAGUAUAGUUGUACCCCAUUUUGGUUUCAUGUUGUAUAUAUUUGAUGAACAGGGAACGUGUAAAUGAAUGUAUAAAUGAGUAUGUAAAUAACUAAAUGUUGUGGUUAUUCAGCUUUAUGGUUUGGUUUAAAGUUUUCAAAAAUACAGUGAAUGCAUGUUUAGCUAGCUUACUUUCACUCGUUCUUGUUACUUGCCCUCGUGCAAGCCAUGUAUAUUGAAAUGUUAU